UGUCAGAGGUUCGAAGGCGAUCAGAUACCGCCCUAGUUCUAACCAUAAACGAUGCCAACCAGUAAUAAGCUUGAGUUCCUUAAAUGACUCAGCUUGCGACUUCCGGGAAACCAAAGUCUUUCGGUUCCAGGGGAAGUAUGGUUGCAAAGCUGAAACUUAAAGAAAUUGACGGAAGGGCACCACCAGGAGUGGAGCCUGCGGCUUAAUUUGACUCAACACGGGAAAACUCACCCGGCCCGGACACUGGAAGGAUUGACAGAUUGAGAGCUCUUUCUUGAUUCAGUGGGUGGUGGUGCAUGGCCGUUCUUAGUUGGUGGAGCGAUUUGUCUGGUUAAUUCCGAUAACGAACGAGACUCUAUCCUACUAAAUAGAUCGUUGGCUUACAAACGCUAGCGAGACUUCUUAGAGGGACAGGCGGUGAUUCAACCGCACGAAACAGAGCAAUAACAGGUCUGUGAUGCCCUUAGAUGUCCGGGGCCGCACGCGCGCUACACUGAAGUGAUCAGCGUGCAUUUUCAGCCUACUCUGUCAAGAGUGGGAAACCCAAUGAACCUUCUUCGUGAUUGGGAUAGGGGAUUGUAAUUAUUCCCCUUGAACGAGGAAUUCCCAGUAAGCGCGGGUCAUAAGCUCGCGUUGAUUACGUCCCUGCCCUUUGUACACACCGCCCGUCGCUACCACCGAUUGAAUGUUUUA
rnacentral:rRNA from 1 species